rnacentral:rRNA from 1 species
CCUACGGGAGGCAGCAGUGGGGAAUAUUGGGCAAUGGGCGAAAGCCUGACCCAGCAACGCCGCGUGAAUGAAGAAGGUCUUCGGAUUGUAAACUUCUUUUAUGAGGGACGAAGGACAUGACGGUACCUCAUGAAUAAGCCACGGCUAACUACGUGCCAGCAGCCGCGGUAAU